rnacentral:rRNA from 1 species
UACAUAGGUAGCGAGCGUUAUCCGGAAUAACUGGGCGUAAAGGGAGUGUAGGUGGUGAUUCAAGUCUAUUGUGAAAGCCCCAGGCUUAACUUGGGGAUUGCAGUAGAGACUGAGUUACUAGAGUGCGAGAGAGGCAAGUGGAAUUCCUAGUGUAGCGGUAGAAUGCGUAGAGAUUAGGAGGAACACCAGAGGCGAAGGCGACUUGCUGGCUCGUAACUGACACUGAGACUCGAAAGCGUGGGGAGCAAAC